AGAGUUUGAUCAUGGCUCAGGAUGAACGCUGGCGGCGUGUUUAAGGCAUGCAAGUUGAACGGGCAUUUGUAGCAAUACAGAUGCUAGUGGCAAACGGGAGCGUAACACAUUGGUAACGUACCCCUGCGUCGCGAAUAAUUCACCGAAAGGUGGACUAAUACGCGAUACGGAUGAGGGGCCCUCGGGCAUUCUCAUUGAAAGAUUUAUCGCGCAGGGAGCGGCCUAUGUUCGAUCAGCUAGUUGGUAAGGUAACGGCUUACCAAGGCUACGACCGAUACCGGGUGUGAGAGCACGACCCGGCUCACUGGGACUGAGACACUGCCCAGACACCUACGGGUGGCUGCAGUCGAGAAUAUUCCACAAUGGACGAAAGUCUGAUGGAGCGACGCCGCGUGCCGGAUGAAGCCCUUUGGGGUGUAAACGGCUUUUGGUAGGGACGAAUUCGUGACAGUACCUACAGAAUAAGAGGUUGCUAACUCUGUGCCAGCAGCAGCGGUAAUACAGAGACCUCAAGCGUUAUCCGGAGUUACUGGGCGUAAAGCGCCCGCAGGUUGUGUUGCGCGUCACAUGUCAAAUCUUAUUGCUCAACGAUAAGGCUGCAUGUGAUACGGCAACGCUCGAGGCCGGGAGAGGUAUCGGGAAUUGCUAGUGUAGCGGUCAAAUGCGUUUAUAUUAGCAAGAACACCCAAUGCGAAAGCACGAUACUGGAACGCGCCUGACACUCAUGGACGAAAGCGUGGGGAGCGAAUGGGAUUAGAUACCCCAGUAGUCCACGCCGUAAACGAUGCAUGCUAGGUAUAAGGAGUUUCGACCCUCUUUGUGCCGUCUAAAAAAGCUAACGCGUUAAGCAUGCCGCCUGGGAAGUACGACCGCAAGGUUAAAACUCAAAGGAAUAGACGGGGACCCGCACAAGCGGUGGAUUAUGUGGUUUAAUUCGUCGGUAAGCGAGAACCUUACCUGGUCUUGACAUCUAGCUGCAUGCCCCUGGAAACAGGGGAGGCCUUCGAGGGUGCUAGACAGGUGCUGCAUGGUUGCCGUCAGCUCGUGCCGUGAGGUGUACCCUUCAGUGGGGUAACGAGCGCAACCCUUAUCCUGCGUUACAUUUACACAGGAGACUGCCCUCGUAAGAGGGAGGAAGGUGAGGACGACGUCAAAUCAGCAUGGCCCUUACGACCAGGGCUACACACAUAAUACAAUGGCCAGUACAGAGGGCCGCCAAGUCGCAAGACGGAGCUAAUCCCUAAAACUGGUCUCAGUUCAGAUUGAGGUCUGCAACUCGACCUCAUGAAGUCGGAAUCGCUAGUAAACGCAGAUCAGCUCGCUGCGUUGAAUACGUUCUCGGGUCUUGUACUCACCGCCCGUCACACCAUGGGAGUUGGUAACACCCGAAUGUCGCCGAUUGGCGGCAGAAGGUGGGAUCAAUAACUGGGGUGAAGUCGUAACAAGGCAUCCGUAGCGGAAGCUGCGGAUGGAUCACCUCCUU
rnacentral:rRNA from 1 species